rnacentral:lncRNA from 1 species
CUGAUGGGAUCCGGUGCAUUAGUGCUGGUAUGAUCGCACCUGUUUAAUUUUCCGCUGCAAAUAGAUAAACUCAUUCCCCUUUCUUCCCCCUCCCGUCAUUUAUUUUCUUGUGCGUGCGCACUGCACCUCUCGUUCUCGUUCAAAUAUCAAGUAAAAUGCCACGGCGCCGUGACUCACAUUUGUGAAAAAACCUGCGGACCAUAAUUAAAGUCGCGCGUA